AACGCACGAGACCUGCGGACCUGCGGAGGAUCAUUACAGAGUUUAGGGUCUCAUGGUGGCCCAAACCUCCAACCCCCUUGGUGUCUACUAUCCUGUUGCUUCGGCAGGUUCCAAUGGUGCCUGUCGAAGCCUUGCAAUAAAAAUCACCAUGAAUGUUAGUCUGAACUUUUAGAAUAUUGAAUUUAAAUAAAAACUUUCAGCAACGGAUCUCU
rnacentral:misc_RNA from 1 species